CCCUUGCCUCUUAAUUAGUGGCUAGUAUGAAUGGAUAAACGAAAAUCUCGCUGUCUCUAUAAGUUACAUAAAAACUAUCCCUCAAGUGAAGAGACUUGAAUUCCAAUAAAAGACAAGAAGACCCUGUAGAGCCUAAGCAAAAAUUAAAUACAAAAUAAAUAAUUAAAAUCCCUUCUUUAAUUUAGCUCCAGUUGGGGCGACUUAGGAGCAACAAAACCCUCCUUACCUUUAAAAGGCCUUUUAGCCCACCAAAUGAUCCAUUAUUUCUAUGAUUAAAAACCAGGCUACCUCAGGGAUAACAGUCUAAUCUUCCUUAAGAGCCCAUAUUGACAGGAAGGAUUGGCACCUCGAUGUUGGCUUAGGGGCACUCCUUGGCGCAGCAGCCCUGGAAGUAGGUUUGUUCAACCUUUUAUACCCUACGUGAUC
rnacentral:rRNA from 1 species